rnacentral:rRNA from 1 species
GAUGAACGCUGGCGGCGUGCCUAAUACAUGCAAGUCGAGCGAACAGAUGAGGAGCUUGCUCCUCUGACGUUAGCGGCGGACGGGUGAGUAACACGUGGAUAACCUACCUAUAAGACUGGGAUAACUUCGGGAAACCGGAGCUAAUACCGGAUAAUAUAUUGAACCGCAUGGUUCAAUAGUGAAAGACGGUUUUGCUGUCACUUAUAGAUGGAUCCGCGCCGCAUUAGCUAGUUGGUAAGGUAACGGCUUACCAAGGCAACGAUGCGUAGCCGACCGGAGAGGGUGAUCGGCCACACUGGAACUGAGACACGGUCCAGACUCCUACGGGAGGCAGCAGUAGGGAAUGUUCCGCAAUGGGCGAAAGCAUGACGGAGCAACGCCGCGUGAGUGAUGAAGGUCUUCGGAUCGUAAAACUCUGUUAUUAGGGAAGAACAAAUGUGUAAGUAACUAUGCACGUCUUGACGGUACCUAAUCAGAAAGCCACGGCUAACUACGUG